GCCAGCAGCCAUAUCAUUCUGCAACUCACAGCAGGCAGCCCGCUGUAGCUCAGCAGGUGUGAGCCUGGUCAGUACCUGGGUGGGAGACUCCUGGGAAAGCUAAGGUUGCUGCUGGAA
rnacentral:rRNA from 1 species